ensembl:lncRNA
AACUCCACACUAAAGCAAUAUGGAGAACAGAAACCAGGACAGAAAUUCUCCAGACUAACAGUAGCCACCCUACAGACAAGAAGCUACUGGCUGCCCUUCUGUACAAGUUUUGGGGACGAAACAAAAUAACUGAGAAGAAAUAUUUGUUCCGAUAACAGCGUCCUACUGAAGGGGAUUGAAGCUGCUGUAACUGAAAAACACAGGACAUGUUGAUGACUGAGUUAAACUCUAGGCCUCAGAAACUGAAGAUUAGAAUUGCAGGCACCCAGAAGUCAGCAGAUUUCUCGUCUCUUUCUCUGUGUACCCUACAGUGUUCUGUUAACAUUUUGCAAUAGGUUCAGCAGCUAAGUUUUCUGGGGUGUGUGUAAGAGCACACCACUUCCUGUGGUGACCGUUGUGUUUCCUGUUUUCUCAAGGCUGAUGGAGACGAGCUGGCGCGGCUGCUGAUUUUGAAACAGGGGCAGCUGCAUGAUAGUCUUGUGAGAGCUCUGAAUGAAUCACCAUCCCAUCCUUACAGAAAAAUCCCGAAUCUUUCCAGAGUUGGAACUCUAACUUUGGUGGUGCUGGGCUACCUGCUCACGCGCUGCAAAGAGACUGGGGAAUGCUCAGAACGCCAAACAGUAAGAAGUCAAGAGGCAGAACACAGCGGGUCAUGAGAUUGGUCCAGAGAUCAUAAAACUUCUGGAAAAGAACUUCUGUUCACUGAGAUACAGCCCAUCUCCACAGUAACAUUUUCUUUUUUAAUAUGAAAAUCACGAAGCAUCAGAAACCACAAGCCAGUAACAGUGGAUGGACAGGAAGGUUGUUACUGAAACACAGAACUACCUUUACACAGACAUUUGACCAAAAAACAUUCAAACCACUGGAGGGUUCAAGGAUACACUAAAUUCAGUUUGUUGAUAGAAGAACCUAUUUUGGUAAAAGACAGACAAGGAAUAUAAAUUGACCAAUCAAUCAAUCAAUAAAUAAUUAAAAAAUUCUCUGAUGUAGUAUAAGGGAUGCAGAAUAAAUCUAUCUUGUUACAACCU